GGACCAGUACGUGUAUUUUUAUUGUGAUAUGUUUGUUCUGUAUAUAUAAAUGUUUAUGUAAUAAAUGUGAGUUACAAUGUAUUAUACCAAUCAAGGAAUAAAUAUAAUAGCUUUCCAAUUUAUACGAAUAUUAAAUGGGUUGGGGCAGUUUACGCUUUUUGCAGAAACUGUUCCAAUCCAUCUCAUGUACGUACAUGUAUAAAUUGGGUAGUUAUUGAAUUGAUUCUUUGUAGUUGAAUUUUCUGCUAUAAUUAAUUGUAGAUAAAAAUGGGCAUUUGACAUCUGAAAUGAAAUUAAAGUAUUACAAACAAAAUUAAAUUAUCAAACCAUAUUCAUGUUCAUUUAUAUCGUCUUAAAAAUGGGUAAAAAUAAAUUUUUAGGUGGAAUGACUUUCUGUAAGAAAAACGUAAAACAAAUCAAUAACUAGGUUAUUGAACAUAACGAUUCAAAAUUUUCCUUACAAACAUAAAAUUGUGAAUAAUAGACAAUUCAAUUUCAUAUUGUAAACAUUUGGGAUAUUUUGUGAUGAUUAAAUAUAAAAGUUUAC
rnacentral:misc_RNA from 1 species